ACCAAUCCAUAAAUCGUUGCUUCUCCCUUACCCCUUCACCGUUUCGUCUAUAAAUAGCGGGGGACCUCUGAUCUUCCAACAAUUGUCCGGGAUGGGGGAACUCUAUAUUUUUUCUUGUUUGGGUGAGAAGUUUUGGUGCUUGAUUUGGGGUUACGCUUCGAUAUUUGGUUCUUAAUUCGCUGGGAAUUUUGAGUUAUCGUCGGUCGAUGCACUUGAUUUUCCAACAAUCGUCCGGGAUGGUGUAGGUUGCCCGGCGGGUUUCUCGUUGGUUAUUUUAUUCCCUUUUGCCCUUUUUUUAAAUCUAUAUUUGUUCUUGCUUGGGUGAGAAGUUUUGGUGAUAGAUUUAGGGUUACCCUUCGUUCUUUGGUUCUUAAUUCGCUGGGAAUUUUGAGUUAUCGUCGGUCGAUGCACUUGAUUUAUUGCUUGAUUUAGGGUUACCGUUCGAUCUUUGGUUCUUAAUUCGCUGGAUUUUGAGAUGAUUUGUAUAGAGGGGUUUGGUAAGCCUUUGAUAGUGAUUCUGAUAUAUCAAGUUCCAUUUUAUACGUACUCUUGAUGAGGUAGAUGUUAAUUAUUACUUGUUGCAGUUACUCGGGGGCUACAUGGGUUGGGAUAAUCGUUAAGGCAAGGUACCAUCAAUUUUGUAAAAGACUUGUUCUUUGAGUUAUGGUUUUUCUGCAUUUGAUAGCGAUUCUAAUUGUGUAAAUCAGCAUUUUUCUUAUGAACAUUUUAUUUAGGAUGGAUGUUCGUUGAUUUCUGUAUUAUUAUUGCACUGUUGCAGCCAAGUUUCUUGGAGGUUCUUGGACCCACUUUUUCGUUGGGGAUCUGGGGUUAUUUUUAUCUCUUGUUUUCCAUAUGUUUGGUUUUCUCCAUUUGCUGACGUUUAUUGUCUCAAUUGUGUCAUUUAGGAUCAGAUUUGAAACUAAAAUGUCAUCGGAAUUAAGGUGGUAGAUUGCCAUUGUUGGGGAGAUAUGAUUUGUGUAGAAGCGGUCGCUCACCUUUGGUGGUAUUAUUGAUCGUAUUGAUAAUCUUUUUCCUCCCUAGCCUUGCUUGUCAGAAUGGAUGUUAAUCAUCAUUCCUGCUGUUACAGCUUUUACUGGUCUUGCACUGGUGGUGAAACUUAAGGGUUUCUUGCUGUUUCGUGGUUAAUUCGUCGGAUUUUGAAUUUUCGUCGGUCGAUGCACUUGAUGGGGAGUGAUACCGAAUCCUUGAUGAAUUCGUCAAUUAUUUGCUCUUCUUCAAGGGUUUCCGUUGGAGCUCUUGUUGUUGAUUCAUUGAAUUUUGUUCAUCUUUGCCUGUUGCAGUUGAUUUGUUAUGAUUAGGUUUCUUCAUGAAUCCAUCCUGCGUUUUACAGAAUGUGGAAUUAUUGGUUCUUCUUCGGCUGUUUCGUUGGAUUUCUUUCAUCCUAGGCUGGAGCAGUUGACUUGGGGAGUUAACAUUAAUUUUACCAUAGGCUUUUGCGAUAUUCGUGAUGAGUAUCGUAUUGUAUUUCCUUCUAUUCUUCGCUGCCUAGAGUUUUCAGAACUUGUUUACCGGUGACAUUUGCAUCCUUUUUCGGCAGUUGCUUCUAUUAUAUGGUGGUCUGCUGCUGAAGAUUGUGUACUUUGGCAUAAGUGGCUGCACUUUUGCUAGGUUGUUGGUUGCUAUAUACUGUUUUCAAUCACUUCUUGAAGCAUUCCCCAGUUUAAUGUGUAUGUCUUCAUCUUCUGCUGCACCUCAAGCAAGCUAUUAAAGUUUGAAUACAACCCUUUUUUACACCUCUUGGAUGUUGUUUCAUUUAUUCAUUUAUAUAUUUGUGUACCUAUUUAUUUUUGUUAUUUAUAUAUAUUUUAUUUAGUUUAAGGUUGUUCAAUCAGGUUAUGAGAGAUUCUUCUUGUUUAGUGAUGCCCUUGUAUAGAAUACUUUGCAAGGUGGUUCGUAUUUGAAUUGCUUUAUUCUGUCAUGCCUAUUUAAUUGUAGGUUGCAUUAUUUAGCAAUUGGCUCAUAUGUUUGACUUCCAUCUUGUUUAGAAAUUUGGUGAUGCCCCUGUAGAAAGUACUUUGCGAGACAUGGUUCAUAUCCGUAUUGCUUUAUUCUGUCAUUCUUUUUUGCAUUUACGUUUCAUUAUUUAGGCUUUUGUGGUAUGGGUGUUGAGUAUCGUAUUGUAUUUCCUUCGAUUCUUUGCUGUCUGGAGUUUUCAGAACUUGUUUCCCGGUAACAUUUGCUUUAUUUUUCGGCAGUUGCUUCUAUUAUAUGUGUUUAUGAGGAGUUAUCCUUAAUUUUACCAUAGGCUUUUGCGGUAUGGGUGUUGAGUAUCGUAUUGUAUUUCCUUCUAUUCUUUGCUGUCUGGAGUUUUCAGAACUUGUUUACCGGUAACAUUUGCUUUAUUUUUCGGCAGUUGCUUCUAUUAUAUGGUGGUCUGCUGCUGAAGAUUGUGUACUUUGGCAUAAGUGGCUGCACUUUUGCUAGGUUGUUGGUUGAUAUAUAUUGUUUCCAAUCACUUCUUGAAGCAUUCCCCAGUUUAGUGUGUGUCUUCAUCUUCUGCUGCACCUCAAGCAAUCUAUUAGAGUUUGAAUACAACCCUUUUUUAUACCUCUUGGAUAUUUUUUCAUUUAUUCAUUUAUAUAUUGUGUACCUAUUUAUUGUUGUUAUAUAUACAUAUAUAUUAUUUAGUUUAAGGUUGUUCAGUCAGGUUAUGAGAGAUUCUUCUUGUUUAGUGAUGCCCCUGUAUCGAGUACUUUGCAAGGUGGUUCGUGUUUGAAUUGCUUUAUUCUGUCAUGCUUAGUUAAUUGUGGGUUUCAUUAUUUAGCAAUUGGUUCAUAUGUUUCACUUCCAUCUUGUUUAGAAAUUUAGUGAUGCCCCUGUAUAAAGUACUUUGCAAGACUUGGUUCAUAUUUGUAUUGCUUUAUUCUUUCAUUCUUUUUUGCAUUUAGGUUUCAUUCUUUGGCGGUUGGCUCAUAUGUUUCACUUUCAUCUUGUUUAGAAUGGUUCUUUUAAUGGUUGAUUCACCAAGGGGUUAUUAUUUGCCAAAUCAAUGAUAUGGAGGAUUGUGCCAUUGAUAGUGGUUAGAUUAUACUUAUUGCUAAUUAAUUUUUUUAUUUUUAAUUGUUACUUGUCCUGUUGCUCUGUUUCCAAGAGAUUGUAUUACUGGACAUAUUUCUUCUUCACCUUUUUUGUGUAGUUUGUAGGUUUUGGUAAUGUUGAUUUCUGAUCUACUGAUAUUUUCCCUGGCCUGCUUGUUCAUUACUGAUCAAACUUGUUAUCAUGGGUUGCUGACGUUUGGUAGGACAUGAUGAUGGAUGGGGGGUUUUUCAUACUCGAUAGCGAUUUAGAUUUUGUCAAUUAGAAUUAGUCGUUCCUUGUAGACGUUAUAUUGAGGAUUGCAUUGAUCAGUUUCUUUUUAUUUUUGCAGUAUUGUGGGAGGUUCUGUUUGAGGCAGUUUUAAUUCAAGGAGUUUUAUCUAACUUUAUUCUAUUUUAACUCAACGGUUUUAAAUAAUACCUGCAUAUAUAUCUGUCUUCCUUGCCCGUUAUUCAGGGAUUGGAAUUAAAGACCAUGAAUUAUCGAUGCUCGAAAGAGAUGAUUUUGUACAGAGGUGGUUUUACGCCUUUGAUAGUGAUCCUGAUGUAUGAAGUGUCAUUUCGUUCAUGCUCUUGAUGAGGUAGAUGUCAAUUGUUGCUAGAAGGGGCUUCUCACCUUUGGCUUUAUUAUUGAUUGUAUUGAUAAUCUUAUUCCCUCGACCCUUGCUAGUCAGGAUAGAUGUUAAUCAUCACUCUUGCUGUUAUAGUUUCUUGUGGACUUGUAGUGGUAGAGGGAUCUUUUGGUGAAGGGGGUUUAGAUAUUUUUUCUCUCCUUUAUAAUUAACAACUUGCUCUUUUUAUAAAGGUUGUCUUGUCAUGUAAUCUUUUAAUAGGUUGAUAAUGUUUGGAGUCGGAGGAUAUGAUACUUGCGAAGGGGAUAUGUCUAACUUGGUAGCAUCUUAGGUUAAACCUGUUGGUCUGUUUUCUCGAAGAUAUUCUGUUUGGUAACCAGUGUCUAUUCUACUACCAUUUUAGUCUUGGAAGAUGUUUUGGUUGAGAUGACUCUGUCACGAGGUUUGAACCAUUCUUUUUUACCUUCGUUUUGUUUUAAGUCAUUUUUUCUUGGAAGUAUGUUUCACCCUUGUUGGGCAUUGCAUUCUUGAUGGCCUGUUUUCUAUUCAGUGGAUGGGAUUGAAGAUGACAGGAGUUAAGGCCAUAGGUUUCAAUGCUUGGGAGAGUACUUGCAUAGAGGAGGUUUCAACUUUCUCUCUUCAACUCGUCUUUUAUAUUCACUGUUGUUAACUUCUUGCUGAUUUUUGUCUUCUCAAUUGUCCUAGACUUGAAAUCUAACUUGUCAGGGGACAUACGGCACUAGGUUGUCAAUAUUUGGGAGAGAUGUUUUGUAUAUAGUAUUAAUGAUUAUAUUAGCAGGUAUUUUUUUUGAUCCUUGUUAAUCAGGAUAUAUGUAUAUCAUCACAUUUCUGGAUGGUGUAAUCUUUUUGAAGGGUGCAAAUGCACGCGAUAAUGAUUUAGGUUUGCAUUGACUAACUUUCCUUUCUCUCAUGGAUGUUCUACCAUGGAUAAAUGUUGAUCAAUACCUUGUUAGUGUUGCAGCUUUGAUGAAGUUUUUAUUGGAUAAAGUUUUUGCUCAAGGGGGUUCUGAAAUGUUUCUUUUUAAUUUGGCUCUUAAACUCUUUUCUUUUAAAAUGCUUUGUCAUUCUAAUUGCUUGUUCUUAACCAGAAAUCAGACUUAAAUACCAAGCUGUGAUCAGAUUUAGGAUGUGCUGUCAUUCUGGAAAGAAUAUUACAUAUAUGAGUUGUUUGGAGGGUGUUUCUCACAUUUUUCUCAAUUCCUUUUUUUCUUCCUUGUUUUCACUAGUGAUGGUUGAUGGUUCGUACUAAUUGUAAUUUCUAUUGCUGUUGCAGUUUUGAAAAGGCCUGCAUUAUUGGAGACACUUCAUCGCGAGUAGCGUGUUGAAUGGUGUUCUAGCUUUUUUCUUCUAAAAAAAAAACUUCUAGUAACUGUGUUUGAAUGAAUUAUGUCAUCAUCUUGGUGAUCCUUUUCCUGUCACCUUGUUUGUGUUGUAGUCUGGUCUCGCGCAAUGGGCUGAUGAUUUUUGGCGGAUACGAUUUUAAUGAAGGGGUUUUUCACCUUUGCGAGUGAUUUGGCUUUUUCAAUUAGCAUUAUUUUUACCUAUUUGUUGUUUUAUUGAGGAUUUUGUUGAUGGUUCUCUUGUUAUUUUUGCAGUCUUGCAAGAUGUUUCAUUUGAGGCACUUUUAAUUCAGGUUCUAUGUUAAUACUGUUUUAACUCACACUUCUAAAUAAUUCUUGUUCCCGUGGUUUUUUGUAAGUCUGUGAUUGAACUGAAGACCACGGAUUAUUGAUCUUCGAAAGCGAAUUUAUGUAGAGGUGGUUUUACAUGGUCAAUAGUGAUUUUGAUGAAUGAAGUUUCAGGAUAGAUGUUAGUCAUCGCUCCUGCUGUUACAGCUUUUCAUGGGCUUGGAACUGGUGGAGGAUCUUCUGGUGGAGGUCUUGAUUUUUUUUUUCUUUUCCUCCUUUUAAAUUAGCAACUUGCUGCUCUUAUAGAUGUUGUCUUGUCAUAUAGUUUGUUAAUCUGUCCUGGCAUGUAGGUUGUUGAUUUUCGGAUCAUGGUUGAUACUUGAUAUUAUCUUUAUUAAGGGAGUAUGUCUAACCUGGUAACAUUUUUAGGUUAUCAAAGUUAAGUCUUUUUCUUCUAUAUAUUCUGUUUAGUGACGAGUAUCAGUUCUUUGACUAUUUCAGUCUUGUAAGAUGUAUUGGUGGAGAUGCCUUUUGUUAAGGGGUUUGAACCAUCCAUUUUAACUUUGUUCUGUUUUAGGUCACUUUUUUUGAAGUACAGUUUUACCAGCUGUUGAGCUCUCUAUUCUUCAUGGUCUAUUUUUUAUUCAGUGGUUAGUGUUGAAGGCCAAAUGAGUCUGUACUCAAGGCCAUAGGUUGUCAAGAUCGUAUUUGCAUGGAGGAGGUUUGAUUUUUUUUUUUUCUCUUUUCCUCCUUUUGAAGUAGCGACUUGCUGGUCUUAUAAAUGUUGUCUUGUCAUAUAGUUUGUUAGUCUGUCCAUGGUGGAUAUUAUAUUUAUUAAGGGAGUAUGUCUAACCUGCUAACAUUUUUAGGUUAUAAUAGUUAAGUCUUUUUCUUGUUUAUAUUCUGUUUAGUGUCCAGUGUCAGUUCUUUGACUAUUUCAGUCUUGCAAGAUGUAUUGGUGGAGAUGCCUUUUGUUAAAGGGUUUGAACCAUCCUUUUUAACUUUGUUCUGUUUUAAUUCAUUUUUUUGAAGUACGGUUUUACCAGUUGUUGACCUCUGAAUUCUUGAUGGUAUAUCUUUUAUUCAGUGGUUAGUGUUGAAUCCAAACGAGUCUGCACUCAAGGCCAGAAGUGUCGAUGCUUGGGACAGUAUUUGCAUAGAGGAGGUUUCAACUAUGCUUUUCUUGUAACUCGUUUUUUAUAUGUCCUGUUGUCACCUUUUGCUGACUAUUGUCUUCUCAAUUGUCCGCUUGUUUGUGAUCGUACUUGAAAUCUAAGUUGUCAUGGGACUUAUGGUGGUAAGUUGUCAAAUAGUUUGGGAGAAAUGUUUGGUAUAUAGUAUUAUCGAUCAUUUUAAUUGUCGUUUUUUUCUUCUGAUUCUUAUUGAUCAGGAUAUAUGUUUAUCAUCAGCCAUCCAGAUGGCUUAAUCUUUUUGAACGGGGAGUAUUUCACUUGAUUGUGAUUUCUCUUUUGGAGGUUCUCUCAUGGAUAAAUGUUGAUUAACACCUUGUUACUGUUGCAGCUUUGACGAGGUUUUUGUUGGAUAAAGUUUUUGCUUGUGGGGGCUCUGGAAUGUUCCUUUCAAUUUGGUUCUUUUAAACUCGUUAUUUUUAAAUACUGUUGCAUCCUUUUGCUGGCUUUCUAAUUGUUUGUUUGUUGACCAGAACAUCAGACGUAAGUACCAGGACGUGAUCAGCUUAAGGAAGUGUCAAUGUUUCGGAAAGAUUAUUUGUACAUUGGUGGUUUCUCACCAUUGAUAGUGAUUGACUUAUAUUUUGUUGGUUCCAUUCCCUGCUCAGAGUCUUGUUAAUGAGGAUACAUGAUGGUAAUAAUUAUAGUUAUCCUUACAGUUCUGCUAGGACUUGCAUUGGUGGGCUGUGAUGAGGGUUUUGUUUUCUUUUAUUUAUAAUAACUUGCUAACUCCAUGGAUCUUUGUUCUGUCAGAUUAUCUGCGGUUAAUCAUGACCACUGAUCAGACUUAUUAUUAUGGGUUGAUCUUCUUAGGCGGAUAGAGUAUCUUGUGAAGGGGGUGUGAGCACUUCAUAGUGCAUCAACUAUCACCUAGUUUUCCAUUAGAUGCGACUUUGCAUUAAUGUGGUUACUCGUGCUGCCAUUGGCAUCUUUCAUGGACUUUACUUUCCGUUCAUGGGGUUUUUGCGAAUUCAUUUUGACAUAAAAAUGUGUUUGGGUGUACCAAAAAUGUUGUUAUUUCAUGUUGUUUGAAAAUAUUUUCAUGACUCUUUAUAUGGGUUCUUGGUUGUGUGAUGAAAUUUCAAAAUGGUUUUAAAAUCAUAAAAUUGAAAAUUCUAAUCAAAUUGAAUUUUAAAAAUUGAUAUUGUUUCUAUUUUCAUAUUAGAAACUUUUCAUUUUCAUCUUUUUUUUGUCAACUAAAAAACUUUCCUUGAGGGGAUUUAGCUUUUAGAAUUCAAAAUGUCACAUUGAUGAAAACUAAAGUUGAAAAAAAACCCUCCAAAUGUGGCCUUGGUGGUCUCUGUCACCAUUUGCUGAUUCUUGCUUUCUCGAUUUCGUUUUUCUUGUUUGUUUUCAAUUGAAAUGGUAGAUGCCAAUUGUCAUUUCUACUGCUGUUGCAGUUUUUCAGAUGGUUGCAUUAGUUGUGUGUUGUGUUGAAUGGUGGUCUAACUUUUUUAUUUUUUAGGGAAAUGGGGAAGAACUUUUGGUAGAUUUGGUUGGAGGAAUGCUGUCAUUGUUUUGGUGAUCCUUUCUUGUCGCCUGUUUUUUGUGUCAGUCAGGUCUCGCACAAUGUGUUGAUGACAUUUGUAGGGUAUGAUCUUUAAUUCAAGGGGUUCUUUCCAACUUAGUUCUAUUUUAACUCAACACUUCUAAAUAAUGCCUGCUGUCUCCAUAUACUUUUGGCCCGGUUGUUAAUCAGUGAUCGGAAUUAAAGACCAUGGAUUAUCAUUGUUCGAAAGAGAUGAUAUGUAUAGAUGGGGUUUGUAAGCCUUUGAUAGUGAUUCUGAUAGAUGAAGUGUCAUUUUAUUCGUACUCUUGAUUAGGUAGACGUCAAUUAUUACUUGUUGCUGCAGUUACUCAGGGGCGACAUCAGUUGGGAUAAGCCGUAGGGCAAGGUACCAUCAAUUUUGUAAAGGAUUUGUUCUUUGAGUUAUGGUUUUUCUGCAUUUGAUAGCGAUUCUAAUCGUGUAAAUCAUCAUUUUCUUUAUGAACAUUUUGUUGAGGAUGGAUGUUCGUUGCUUUCUGUAUUAUUAUUGCUCUGUUGCAGGCAAGUUUCUUGGAGGUUCUUGGAGUCACUAUUUCGUGGGGGAUCUGAGGUUAUGUUAUCUCUUGUUUUCCAUAUAGAUGGUUGUUUCCAUUUGCUGACUUUUAUCUUCUCAAUUGUAUGUCAUUUAUGAUCAGAUUUGAAACUAAAAUGUCAAGAUUGUCAAUGUUUGGGUGAGAUGAUUUGUAUAGAGGCGGUCACUCACCUUUGGCGGUAUUAUUGAUUGUAUUAUCCCAAACCCCCCCCGGCGCGCUUGUUAGAAUGGAUGUUAAUCAUCACUCCUGCUGUCACUGGUGGUGAAGCUUAAGGGUUUCUUGCUGUUUCGUGGUUAAUUCGUCAGAUUUUGAAUUUUCGUCGGUCAAUGCACUUGAUGGGGAGUGAUCUCGAGUUCUUGACGAGUUCGUCAAUUAUUUGCGCUUCUUCAAGGGUCACCGUUGGACCUAUUGUAGUUGAUUCAUUGGAUUUUGUUCAUCUUUGCCCGUUGCAGUUGAUUUUGAAUGAUUAGGUUUCUUCAUGAAUCCAUCCUGCGUUUUACAGAAUCUGGAGUUAUUCGUUAUUCUUCGGGGGCUUCCGUUCCGGCCUUUGGUGGCUGAUUCGUUGGAUUUCUUUCAUCCUAGGCUGGAGCUGUUGAUUUGCGCUGAUUAUUGUUUCUUGAUGAAUCCAUCCUGCGUUUUACAGAAUCUGGAGUUAUUGGUUCUUCUUCGAGGGUUCCAUUUGAUCUUCGGCUGUGAGGUUGGUUCCAUUUCUUGAUGAAUUUGUCCUGUGCUUUUUGGAUUUGGAAUCAUUUGUUCUUCUUUCGAGGGUUUUUGUUAAUCCGCGAUUUGUCCUGGCUUAAUUGGUUGAUGAUCUUUGGAGUUUGGACGAUAUGAUAUUAACAAAGGGGUUAUGUCUAGGGCUGGAAGUGGGCUCGGGCCGGCCCGAAGCCCAUCGGGUCGGGCCGCCCGCGGGCCGGGCUAUGGGCUAGGCCCAAUGCAUUUUGGGCCCGGCUCGGGCUGAAUGAUUAGGCCCAUUUCUAUUUCGGGCCGGGCUCGGGUAUUUCAUUGUCCCGGUCCGGGCCUGUCCCAGCCCGAGCCCACGUCCAGCCCGAACCGAAUGUGUCUGGCUGUCUACCGAUUGCCGAAUGGCCCGAAUCGCGGCUAAACCCAGCUGCUCGAGGGAUUUGCAGAGGUGCAGUGGGCCAGAGGCAAAGCGGACGAGCGGUGGAGGCGACGAGGCGUGGUGCUAGGGUUUCGCCGGUCGCCACUUCGCCGGUCGCCAGUCGUCGUCGUCGACUGUCCAAGCUCGUCGAAGUGGUGAAGAGAAGUCUCGACCACCCUAUCGUCGGCAAAGCUAGGUUUUGAGGUACGAUUACGAAUGAUCUUCUUCCUUUUGGAUUUUGGUUGGGAUUUGCAGAGGCGCAGAGCAGACGAGCGGUGGAGGCGUGGAGCUAGGGUUUCUCCGCUUCUCCUUGUCGGCUUGUUGCCGGUCACUGUCCAAGCUCGGCGAUGUGGUGAAACCCUAGAUCCGAGGGCUUGUCGACCGUCCAAGCUCGUCGACCGUCCUCGACCGUCCUCACCCCUAUCACGAUCUGAGGGCUUUCACAGCCAAACACACUUUGGUUCGAUCACGGCCAAACACACUGUUUUUUUUCCAAAAUCUGGUAAAAAAAUUUCGAGUUUAUUGAGAAUGGAUUACGUUUGCUGCUGUCCGUUUGUUUUUUGAGAACUUAUUUCGUUUUUGUUUCAGUUGGGUUGUGUGGUAGAUCGCAAGCAGGGAUUCUUUUUUUUUCAUUUUAGUGGGAAAACUGCUAUCCUUUUGCUAGAAGAACAGAGUAGUUUUCGUUCAACCAUGGCAUAAACUUCUUUUGGCUUUUAUCCGAUUUAAGUUCUCUAGUAGAAUGUAAGCAGAGAUCUUCUGAGGAACUUGUAAAGUUUCUGCAAAAUAUUAUAAUUUGCUGGGAGAUCUGAUUUCUUGUUGAUUAUUUAUCCUUCUCUUCAAACUUCCUGUGUGUCUUCUUUUAUUUGAGUUCUUCUCUUGUAAUCAGGGAUCUUUUCCUUUGUUUCCCCAAAACUGUAACUUUUCGGUAUGGGAAACUGAAAUAUUUUGUCAAAGUUAAAAUCAUAUUCUUGCUCUCAAUUUAUGUUGCGAGCAUGUACAAUUUCUUCUUCUUCUUCUUCACCUCUUUUCAUUGUGAACUGCUGUAUGUUUUCAUAAAAAAGUUUAAAUUUUUGCAAUGGAUAAGUAUGCGAGUUUCCUCUGUUUGGUUCUGAUCUCUGAUUGCUCUGAUCUCUCUGUCUGUUUAGUUCUCUGUCUCCAAUGGAUAAGUAUGGAGUCGGAUGGUGGUGUUGUGUUAGUCUAGCAAUUCUUCUCAUGAUCUCAUUAUCUGUAGGCAAAGUAACAGGAAAUUGUGUGCAACAUAAUUAAACUAUACAAGCCCUUUUCAUAAAGAUAUUUGAACUUAUCCACCAACUGGGUCCCUUUUUCAUGAAGAGAGCUUUUCCUCUUUCCUCUCUCACAUGUGCAGGUACAUAAACACAUGUUAUUUAUUUUGUUAUAGGUUAAAUUUGUGAUAUUUAUUUUGUUAUUUGGGCAGGUUAUUUUUACUAAUGUCUCAUUCUAAAAUGGGUGAAAAUGAGAUCGUUGAAGAUUUAAGGGAUGAGGAUGAUAGAAAUGAAGUUACUGUUGAAAAUGAUUGUGACAAUUCUUCUAGAAAAAGAUUUUGGGUAAGCGUUUUUACAGUCUUCUUUUUUCGGAGUCAGAAUUGCUUGCCUCGACUAGUGUGAAAGAGUGAGACAAACGAGACCAAGGCCAUAUAGAGUAAGUACAUGAAAAAGAAAAGGGAUAGGGCACUCAUUAACCUUUGCGCUAAUAGAGAGGAAUUGAGCCGCUCCAUGCCAAAAAGGUUGGUUCGUCAUGCAGUCAAUAUAAAAAAUAUUCUACUGCCUAUGGUCAUGUUCUUGGUGAACCCUAGGAGCUUGAUAUGAUCAUGUCUGAGGUUCCUUCGAUCAUGGAAUUCUCUCACAGUUCGUCGAUGGGAUCCAGAUUGCAAGCCGUCGUUGGCCACUCUCGAUUUGACUUGGAUCCGGUUCCCCGAAUUACAUCUUCUGUCUUAGAAUGACGAUGUUCUCAACACCUUUGCAUCAUGUAUGGGUACUCCGGUGAAAAUAGAUAGAAAGUCUCACUACCCGUGGGCGCUUUUCUAAGGUUUGUAUAGGGCUAUAAGUAGGCCGUUUGCUAUUGCUAUAAGGGCUGCUCGCCUUUAUACGGCUUGGCUUCGCUAUCGCUCCUAUGUAGUGGUCGAGGAAAAAAAUUCUGAAGGGUCAAUAACUAAGUGCAAAUAUUAUAAAAAAGUUUUAAGUGGGAGCAUUAAAGGAGGAACGAGUCAUCUAAAAUGCCAUCUUGAAAAUGUUUGCAAGAAGUAUCAAAAGAAUCCGACUAGUCAGUUGCUCUUACUACCAAGUUCAAAAGAUCCGAUAAAGUCUUUCAAAUUCAAUCAAGAAGAGAGUAGAAAAAUUCUUGCAAAAUUUAUCAUAUGUGCUGAGCUUCCAUUUCGUAUUGUUGAGCACAUUAUUUUUCUGAAUUUUAUGAGAUCUCUUCAGCCAUUAUUCAAAAUUAUGGGUCGUAAGACUGUAAAACAUGAUUGUAUGGCUUUGUAUCAAGAAGAGAGGAAAAAAUUGCAUGAUGUAUUCAAGAACCUAAGUUCUCGGGUUAGUUUCACUACUGAUAUUUAGACAUCAAAUCAGAAAAUCGGUUACAUUUCUUUCACAGCACAUUAUAUUGAUUUUGAUUUUAUUCUACAUAAGAAGAUUAUUAGUUUCAAGAAACUCCCAUACCCUCACACCAGCUUUGCAAUUGAAGAUGCUAUAAGAAAAUGUCUUGUUGAAUGGGAAUUGGAUUGUAAAAUUUGUUGUAUUACUUUAGAUAAUUGCAGCACAAAUGAUGCUGUAAUGAGAAAGGCUCCGAGAUCACUUUUGUUAUGCAAUAUUAUUUAGUGGGGAGUACAGUGUGCACAUAUAUAAAAUAUUAUGGUUCAGGAUGGAAUGAAAAUCAUUCAUGAAGCUAUUGAAUGUAUAAGAGAAAUUGUUAGAUAUGUAUCUGCAUCCCCAUCUCGAAUGCAAGCAUUUAAUGAAAUUGUACAACAUAUAAGACUUCCUGCUAGAAAAGGACGCACUUUGGAUGUUCCUACAAGGUAAAAUUCUACUUAUGAAAUGUUGCAUGAUGCACUUGGUUAUAAAGAUGCUCUUAUUAGAUAUGCAACUGAGCAUUUAUGUGUAUGCCCCACCAAUGUUGAAUGGAAAAAGGCUCCUUUUAUUCUUGAAUUCUUAGAAGCCUUUCUUGAUGCCACUAAAGUAUUUUCUUGUUGUAAGUAUCCCUCAUCCAAUUUAUACCUAAAAGAAGUUUGAGGAAUUAGGGCUUUAUUGAUGGAUGAAAGUAUCAAUACUGAUGAAACAGUGAAGCAAUUAACAAAUGAGAUGCUAAAGAAGUUUAACAAAUAUUGGUCUCAGUGCAAUAAUUUAUUGGUAAUUGCUUCUAUUUUGGAUCCCAGAUCAAAGUUGAUAUUUGUAGAGUUUUGUUAUCAAAAGGUAUUUGAGUUAGAGGAGUGCAAGAAAAAGAUUGAUGAUAUUCGUGUUUGUCUUUUUAAAUUGUAUAAUGAGUAUGUAGAUGCAACAAGGGUGCGCAGCCCUCUAUGAGUUCAAGUGAGCGAACAUCUAAUUUUGAUGGACAAGUUUCGUUUCUUCCAAAAUGAAAUUUGGUAUGGAUUUUGCUCAAUUUAGAAGUCAGAGUUCUUCAAAAUGCCCAAAGAGAUCCGAGCUAGAUAGUUAUUUGGAUGAUGAUGUGCUUCCUGAUUUGGAGAAUAAGGAGUUUGACAUCUUGGCUUGGUGGAAGAGUAAUGCAGCAGUCUAUCCUAUACUAUCAAGAAUAGCUCGAGAUGUUCUAGCUAUUCCAGUCUCCACUGUUUUAUUUGAGUCGGCAUUCAGCACUGGUGGUAGAGUUGUGGAUCAGUAUCGGAGCUCUUUGAGCCCAUCUACCGUAGAAGCCUUAGUUUGUACCCAAGAUUGGCUUCGUAAACAAUAUGAUGAAGUUGCAAAUUGCUCAAGUUCUGUAACGUUGAAUGUAGAUGACGACAGUUCUUUUUUCGAGGGGUUCUGUUUGCUUCUUUUCGAGGGGUUCUGAUUGCUUCUUUUCGAGGGGUACCUUUUUCUUUCAAGUAUUAUCGUUUGUCGUAUAUUGUGAUUUGAAUAAUUGGUUCGAUUCUGAGAAGCAAGAUGUGAUCAAAGCGAUGAUUUUUUUUAACCUCCUGUUUUUGAUGGAAUCCUUUUGUUUGGUUGCAGUUGUAUCAUUGAAGUGUCAAAUUGCACUGAUCCUUUUACCUGAUGGUCCUAAUCGGAGCUAUCAUAUACUGGUUUGAUAGAAUGAUAAAUUUCAUUUCUUUUGCAUGUCGUCACAUCACAUGUCAAGCAUUGUGGCAACAUGAUAUUUCUACCGAGGCUUCUUAGAAUCUACUCUUCCUGCUGCUUAUUUGGUUGUUACUUGGAUCUCAUAUGGGAUUUCCUGUAAUGCUAUGAUUUUUUUUUAAUGAAUAGAAUUUCUAAUCCGUGUUCGUGGAGUUCAUUAUGCUAGCUUUUUUAUGCAGUAGCUGUUCAUGUGGAACCAUGAAAAUUAAUUUAUUAUUUGUGCUGCUGCAGAUUAGCCUGUGCUGCAGAUUAGUUAAUUUAUUUUCCCCAUAUAUUAGUUUGUACAACAUCAGGUGAUCUUGCUCAAGGGCAUAUCUAAGCAAAGGUAGCAACAAACUAAGCAUAUCUCACUAAAUGAGACAAAAUGGGCUCGGGCCGGGCUUGUGAUCGGGCUGGGCCAAUCGGGCUCGGGCCGGGAUCGGGCCGAGUUUCUAUAAUACUGUUCGGGCCUAGGCCCGGCCCGGCUCACUUCCAGCCCUAGUUAUGUCUAACCAUUUAAGCUUCUUUUUCUUGUGUAUAUUCUGUUUGGUGAUUGGUGUCGGUUUUGUUAUAUUCCAGUCUUGCAAGAUGUUUGGUGAUUGGUGUCGGUUUUGUUAUAUUCCAGUCUUCCAGCCCGGAGUCAUUUUUUUGGUAGUAGUGUUUCACCACGUAGUGGCCUGUGUGUUACAUCUAAUACAUGUACAUAUUGUAAAUUGAUCUAUAUCUAUAUAAAACCAUAUCUGUAUACAACUUUAUAUGAUAAAAUUUUACGCAUUUGAAGGUAACCGCCCUACGUACGUAUAGUAGAAAGACCCAUCGGACCUGUGAAAGUCUCGUUUUUGACUAAACUAAGAAACACGGGCUUUGCUGCGACGAGGAUGCCUUUUUUAAUCAGCCAGCGUCUCGGUGGUGUUUUUUCAUUUGCUUAUCUUGUUUGGGCUUAAGGCCAUAGGUGCUUAUCUGUUGCCGCCUUCUGCUAACUUUUGUCUUCUCAAUUGUCUGCCUGUUUGUGAUUGGUCUUGAAUCUAAGUAGUCCUUGGACUUAUGGACUCCGUGGUCGGUAUUUGGGUGAGGCAUUCUACAUGUGGCAUGUUCGAUUGUAUUAAUCAGCUUUUUUUCUGAUCCUUGGCGUUAUCUUUUUGGAGAGGGCAUGCUUUGGACCAAAUAGUGGGUUAGAUUGCAUCGACAAGCAUGCCUUUUUCUCUUGUGGAUGCUCUUUUACGGAUAAAUGUUGGUUAACACCUUGUUAUUGUUGCAGCUUUGGACAUGGUUUUUGUUGGAUGAAGUUUUUGCUCAAGAGGGCUUUUAACUCUUUUUAAGUGCUGUUGUUACUUUUUGUUGACCUUUGUCCUUCCAAUUGAUUGUUUGUUAACUAGAAUACAGACUUACUGACCAAGCUGUGAUCAGAUUUAGGACGUGUGGGUGUUCCGGAAAGAUUAGCUGUAUACUGGUGGUUUCUCACCUUUUGGUAGUCAUUUGCACUUGUAUUUGUUGAUUUCCCCCCACCCCCCUCUCAUAGUUUUAGACUUCUGCUAGUACUUGCAUUGGUGGAACGUGAUCAGAUUUUUUCUUUUCUUUUUAUUCAAAAUAACUUGUUAAUUUUGUGAAUCUGUGCUGUGAAUCAUGACCAGCAAUUAUAUCAGCCAUCAUGGGUUGAUAAUCUUAGGUGGAUGGAAUAUCUCAUGCAGUAGCUCUUGAUGGUGUAUCAACUAUCACCUAUUUUUCCAUUAGACAAGAUUUUGUAUGAGCGAAGAGCGUUUAUUGUUACUCAUGUUACCAUUGGUGUCUUUCAUGGGGUUUACUUCUCAUUAUUUUAACCUAAAAUGUGUUUGGGUGUAUGAAAUGAAGUUAUUUCAUCUUCUUCGAAUUCAUAUUCCUGACUUUUUAAUAUGGGGUGCUUGGUUGUGAUGAAAUUUCAAAAAGGUUCUAAAAUCUUGAAUUGUAAAUUUUUAUUUGAAAUAGAAUAUUAAAAAUUGAUGUUUUUUAUUCUCAUCUUCAAGCUCAUCCAUUUUCAGCUUUUUCUUGUUAACUACAAAACAUCUGUUAAUAGGCUUUUAGCUUUUAGAAUACAAAAUUUCAAAUUGAUGAAAAACUAGAGUUGAAAUAGAAAAUCUCUAAAUGUGGGCUUGAUGUUCUCUUUCACCAUUUGCUGGUUCUUGCUGUCUCAAUGGGGUCAGACUUGGAACAUGAAAUAUGCGGGGAGGCUUAAGACCAUUGUUGGCAGAUGUAUAGAGGGUGUUUCUUGCAUUUUUCUCAAUUUCUUUUUUCUUCCUAGUUUUCACUGGUUGUGGUAGAUGCUGAUUGUCAUUUUUAUUGCUGUUGCAGUUUUUGGAAGGCCUGCAUUAUUGGAGACACUUCAUCUUGAGUGGCAUUGAAUGGUUUCUAGCUUCUUUUUAGGAAAAAAAAAUUUAGUAACUUUGGUUGAAUGGCUAUCAUCAUGUUGGUGAUCCUUUUCCUGUCAACUGGUUUAUGUGUCAGUCAGUUCUCACGUAGUGGUUGACGAUAUUUGGAGGAUAUGAUCUUUAUGUGGGGUGGGGGUGGGAGGGCUUGUGCUUUGUUUUUUGUCAAUUAUAGCAUCAUUUUCCCCCCUUUCUGCUGUUCUAUCUUAGUUCUCUUUUAACUCAUAACUUUUGAAUAACGCGUGCUGUCUUCAUAUACCUUUGUCUUCCCACGCCUGUUUGUUAAUUGGUGUUCGGAAUUAAAGGCCAUGGAUUAUUGAUGUUCAAAGGUGAUCAUUUGUGUAAUGGGGGUUUUACGCCUUUGAUAGUGAUACUGAUGUGCCAUUUUAUUCAUACUCUUAAUGAGGUAGAUGUCAAUUGUUACUCAUUGUUCUUGCAGUUGCUCAAGGGCUAUAUUGUUUGAGACAAUUGAUAAACCUGGGGUACCAUCAGUUGAGUAGACAAUUGAUGGUUUUUUUUCUUCUUCUCUUGUCGUUGUGUCAAUGAGCACUUUUUUAUGAAUAUCUUGUUUAGGAUAUAUGUUUGUCACCACCCGUAUGAUUAUUUUAGUACAGCAACAGGGUUACUUGGAGGCCCUUUUUCAAGGGGGAUCUAGUAUUCUUUUUAUCUCGUAUAUGUAUGGUCAUUACCAUUUGCUUGGGACAGUAUUUGCAUAGAAGAGGUUUCAACUGUGUGUUUUUUUAUGUCCUAUUGUCACCUUUUGCUGACUAUUUGUCUUCUCAGUUUUCCGCCUGUUUGUGAUCGUACUUGAAACCUAUGUUGUCAUUGGACUUGUGGUGGUAAGUUGUCAAUAUUUUGGGAGAAAUGUUUUGUAUAUACUAUUAUUGAUCAUAUUAAUAGUUGUUUUUUUUUCUAUUCUUAUUGAUCUGGAUAUUUGUUUAUCAUCCCCCAUCUGGAUGGCUUAAUCUUUUUUGAACAGGGAGUAUUUCACUUGAUUGUGAUUUCUCACUUGGAGGUUCUCUCAUGCAAGGUCCGCAUGGACGCGGAAAAAAACUACGCUUCCGCUCGCGGACACGAAAAAAAAAAACAACGCGUCCACGCACGGACACAUUAAAUGCCACAGAGUGGGUAUUAAAUGGCCUCUGCGGGCUGCCCCGCGCGGGGAAUCGCGCGUAGGCGCAAGCUGGGCGCGCGAUUCUUUGCUGGCGCGGACGCGAAAAAAGAAACACGGAUGCGUUAAAUGCCAUAAAUGCCACUCUGUGGCGUUAAAUGGCCCACGCAGGCUGCCAGCCCACGUGGGUGCGUUGCCCCGCGCGGGGAACACCGGUACACAGUGGAAAAUGGCCGGUUCCGGCCUCUAUAGGGCCGGAAACGUUUUUCACCGCCGAACCAUACCGGUUGGAGCCGGUAUCGGUACGGUACGCGCUGAACCGGUUCGAGCCGGUUCAACAGACCUUGCUCUCACGGAUAAAUGUUGAUUAACACCUUGUUACCGUUGCAGCUUUGAUGAGAUUUUUGUUGGAUAAAUUUUUUGCUCGUGGGGGUUUAAGAAUGUUCUUUUCAAUUUGGUUCUUCUAAACUCGUUAUUUUUAAAUACUGUUGCUUCCUUUUGCUGGUCUUUCUAAUUGUUUGUUUGUUGACCAGAACAUCAGACCUAAGUACCAAGAUGUGAUCAGAUUAAGGACGUGUCAAUGUUCCGGAAAGAUUAUUUGUAUAUUGGUGGUUUCUCACCAUUGAUAGUGAUUAACUUAUACUUUGUUGGUUCCCAUUCCCUGCUCAGAGUCUUGAUAAUGAGGAUACAUGAUGGUAAUAAUUAUGGUUGUCCUUACAGUUCUGCUAGGACUUGCAUUGGUGGGCUGUGAUGAGGGUUUUGUUUUCUUUUAUUUAUAAUAACUUGCUAACUUCAUGGAUCCUUGUUCUGUCAGAUUAUCUGCUGUUAAUCAUGACCAGUGAUCAGACCUGUUAUUAUGGGCUGAUGUUCUUAGAUGGAUAGAAUAUCUUGUGAAGGGGGUGUGAGCACUUGAUAGUGCCUCAACUAUCACCUAUUUUUCCAUUAGAUGUGACUUUAUGUUAAUGUGGUUACUCGUGUUGCCAUGGGUUUACUUUUCAUUCAUUGGAGUUUUGUGAAUUCAUAUUAACAUAAAAUGUGUUUGGGUGUACUAAAAAUCUUGUUAUUUCACGUUGUUUGAAAUAUUUUCAUGACUUUUGUCUGGGGUGCUUGAUUGUGUGAUGAAAUUUCAAAAAAGUUCUAGUCAAAUUGAAUUUUAAAAAUUGAUAUUUUGUCUAUUUUCAUAUUGGAAUUUUUCCAUUUUCAUCUAUUUUCUUGUUAACUAUAAAACUUCCCUUAAUGGGAUUUAUUUAGAAUCCAAAUGUGGCCUUGGUGGUCUCUGUCACCGUUUGCUGAUUCUUGCUUUCUUGAUUUCUUUUUUUCUUCGUAGUUUUCACUUGUCGUGGUAGAUGCUAAUUGUCAUUUCUAUUGCUGUUGUUGUUUUUCAGAUGUUUGCAUUAGUUGUGUGUUGUGUUGAAUGGUGGUCUAGCUUUUUUAUUUUUUAGAGAAAAAACUUUUGGUAGAUUUGGUUGGAGGAAUGCUGUCAUUGUUUUGGUGAUCCUUUCCUGUCAGCUGGUUUUUGUGUCAGUCAGGUCUUACACGAUGUGUUGGUGACAUUUGGAGGGUAUGAUCUUUAAUUCAAGGUUCUAACUUGGUUCUGUUUUAACUCAACACUUCUAAAUAAUGCCUGUUGUCUCCAUAUAGCUUUGGCCCGGUUGUUAAUCAGUGAUCGGAAUUAAAGACCAUGGAUUAUCGUUGUUUGAAAGAGAUGAUUUGUAUAGAGGGGGUUUGUAAAGCCUUUGAUAGUGAUUCUGAUAUAUUAAGCGCCAUUGUAUUCGUACUCUUGAUGAGGUAGAUGUCAAUUAUUACUUCUUGUUGCAGUUACUCAAGGGCUACAUUGGCUGGGAUAAUCGUUAAGGCAUGGUACCAUGAUUUCUGUAAAGGCCUUAUUCUUUGAGUUAUGGUUUUUCUGCAUUUGAUAGCGAUUCUAAUUGUAUUAAUCGGCAUUUUUUUGUCUGAACAUUUUGUUUAGGAUGGAUGUUUGUUGCUUUCUGUAUUAUUAUUGCACUGUUGCAGCCAAGUUUCUUGGAGGUUCUUGGAGGCACUUCUUCGUUGGGGAUCUGAGGUUAUUUUUAUCUCUUCUUUUCCAUAUGUUUGGUUUUCUCCAUUUGCUGACUUUUAUCGUCUCAAUUGUGUCAUUUAGGAUCAGAUUUAAAACUAAAAUGUCAUCAGAAUUAAGGUGAUAGAUUGCCAUUGUUUGGGAGGGAUGAUUUGUAGAGAGGCGGUCGCUCACCUUUGGUGGUAUUAUUGAUCGUAUUGAUAAUCUUUUUCCCCUUUAGCCUUGCUAGUCAGAAUGGAUGUUAAUCAUCAUUCCUGCACUGCCCCCCCUUCAUUGUAAAUUUUGUAUUCUCAUAUUAGUCUGUUAAUCAGUGAUAUGUUCUGGGGUUUGGAGUUUGGUGGACAUGAUAUUUAUGAAUCUUAGACAUGUAUGCAUUUUGUUAAUCAAUGAGUCGACCUAUUAUUCUACAUUGAUGAAAGUUUAGAUGGCAUGCUCUUUAUAACGGGUGUAAUUGUGAGUUUGAUCGUGAUUUAGAUUGUGUUUAUGAGCUCUUUUUCUUGGUGACAUUCUAUUCAAAGCAAGUGUUGAUUAUAAAUCAUUAUUGCAGUCUUGUGGGUUCGAAGACCGAAUAUGUGAUUGGAGAAGGUUAUAAGUUGCUGAAUUUUAGGAGUUGUGUUGAAGAGGGGUUCUCUAAGUUUUACUAGGAUGUCAAUUAUCACUUUCUAUUACCAUUGCGGUUUUGUUUGAUGGUGUUCUUGAUUGUUUUUUUUUUUAAAAGUAACUUACUGAUUUUGUGCAUGUUUGUCAUUUUGAGACUGUUCUUUUCAUAUGAUCUAUGGGUUAAUUGGUGACAAGAUUUGGCAUCUCAGACCAAGGUUGGAGGAAUCGGUCUUGACCCUGUACCGGUUUUCCUGCGGGAUGGCUCGGUACGUGCUUGACACAAGGGAAUAGACGGGGGAGGAAGAACGAGAGAGGAAAAGAGAGAGAGUGGGGAGGGAGGGAACACAUCCCAUUUUCGGAGCCGGAACUGUACCCGUGAACCACCGGUACGGUUUGAAAUGGGCAGAACUGGCCGGUUUGGGUCGGUUUUGCCGACGUUCUCUCAGACUGAUGGUGGUUGGAGGACAUGAUAUCUAUCGAGGAGGUAUCGAGCUCCAAUUAGGGAUUUAGAUUUUGCCAACUUGCAUAUCUUUUUUCCCUGGUAGACAUUCUAUUAGGAACAUGGUGUUGAUUUAGUGCUGUUACUCUUGCAUGUCAUGCAAGAAGUUUCGUUGAAUACACUUCUUGUUUAGGGGGUUUUUGAUUCUUUCUUUCUUGGUUCUUUUUAACUUGCAUUUCUUUUUAAGUAUUGUCAUCAUUGCUGAUCUUUGUAUUCUCGAUCUUUCUUGAAUCAGUGAUCUGACUUUUAGUGUCCAAAUAUGUGGUUAAAUUGAAAAUUAUUUGGGAUGCCAGGUUUCGGGAGACUUGAGUUGCUGAUGCUGUUGCAAUUUUGCAAGGUUUUGCAUUGACGGGAACUGUUUAUAUCCAAUGUUUAACACUGCCAAUGCCGGUCCCAAGCCCGGAUGAGAAAAGUGGAGGGAGCUGUUAUUGUUAAAUGUAGUUUCUUUCACUGAGCAAAUUUGAGCAGCCCGUCUAAUUCAGUUAGCCAAGGACUUGAUCAAAUCCUGACGGGCUGACGGGAUGUCCUGUAGGACACCAGGAUGGGGCGGGGUGCGUCCCAUUUCAAGCAGCUGACCACCGCCUAAAGGGUUGCCCUCCAACCUCCAUUUUUUUCUGAGUAUUUAUUCAUUUAGCUGGUUGAUGAGGGUUUUUUUCCCUCUCAAUGAUAAAAGAAAUUAGAUUUAAAUGCUGAUGAAUCCGAGAAAGUUUCAAUUGGUUUGUGAUUGGAGAGAUGUAUGAAUUAAAUAAUGAAAAUAGAAAAAGUAGAGAGCUGAAGAGAGGUUAGUGGAUUGAAAAAUAAAUUGACCCUAAAGAAGGAACUCGAUGCAAGUUUAAAAGUACAGUUUUUUUUAUAGGAUGGUCCGCGCAGCAGACAAAUCGGAGCCAAAAUUAUCCAGAGAGAUGAUGUCAAAUCUACCAUUUUCCACUUGUUUGUUGCAUGCUUCUUUUGUUGCAUUUUUGGUGCUCUGUAUGUUGCAAUGCAAAUUCAACUCUCUUUUGAUCUGUGUGCCGUCUUAAAAGAUAUCUUCAUUUUAUAUAGAAUAUGUCUUAGUUGCAAUAAUAGUCACUUGAAGGAGAGCUAUCCAUUACACACAACUUCAAAAUGUCGAAGAUGUGAUUUGACUUUUCCAUUUUAUCCAUUUGAAAGGGAUCCUAUAUAUAUAUUACUUGUCUUGGUAUGAUGCUAAUUCGGACUGUGGAGGAUGUUUGCUAAUUUAAUGCUGCUGAGUUGUUUUCAUUAUUUUUAGAAAAAUGAAGCAAGAAAUCUGUCUUUUACCAUCAUCAUUGUUGAUGUUACCUUAAUUGCUAUUGGUCAUUGCUACUGUCAUCUCUUUUAUAAUCAUUAUCACUACUGCUAAUAUGCUGCUUUGACUUCUGCCAUCUUUGUUGGAGUCGUUGCUUUGUUAUCGUCCAUACUAUGACCACACUAUUGCGGUGCACUUUGGUGCUUCAAUCACCAUUAUCUGCUACCGCUGUGGUGCUAUGUCACUAGAUCUAAAAACAAAAGAAUGAAGCACCUUGAGUGUUCUAAAUAUUUUUUUUGGUUAUUUAUUACGAAGGAUGGGAUGACGGUAAGCUUUCUGGAGUAUCUAUGGUCUUUCAAUCAAAAUUUAUUUUGUUUCAUAAUGGUUUUUUUUUUUUCAAUUUUUAACCAAGAGAGGCAAAAUCCUGUGUGAAUUUGCAGGUAUCUCACUCAAAUGAACUGAUUGCCGUAUGUUUUUUGCUGUCUGGUAUAGAUGGAAGAACCACAAUGCUUUGGUAUUUCAAAAUACGACUAUAUCCAUUAAUAAUAUCAUAGGUUCUCAAUAUCGUUUUGACAUUGUGCAGGUUCAGCAUGCUCGUUAUAUUGAAUCACCCACCCAUCAAUUGGAUGUAAUAGUGAUGGGUCAUACUGCCCGGAUGAUGACAAGGCCGGUGCUAACUUCGUAUUUAGAGGAGCUGACGAUUUUGUAUGCUGGCGGUCGUGCAUUGCCUGCCAUCCGUCCCUUGCUGGCUGAGGCUUGGGCCCUCUGUGAAGCGCUCAGUGGCAUUCUGCUGGGGCUUCAAUGCCUAAUUGUUCCAAGUGAUUCUUAGCCUUGUGGACAUUCUGACCUAGCCGGAGCAUACCCUGGGACAAUUAGGCCUUUAGUUCUUUUUCAGAAAUUUCAAAGUUUCAGCAUGCUUAUCGGAGCCGAAUGCAUUAGCUGAUUUUUUAGCAAAACUUGGAUGGCAAUGGCGUCGGGUUGUAGACUGGACUUUAUCCAGUCCACCUUGCUGAUUUGAUGCGUUAUUUAGGCAGUGGGUUCGCUAUUUUGGUAUUGGAUCUCGUACCGGUGCUAUAUUAGCAUAGUAUCCGUACCAUUUGGUAUGGUAUGUUCUUUACCAUUUGGUUUAGGCUGGUAUGGCAUAUUAUAUUGAUGGACGUGGAUUGUUUUGGGGGAUGAUCAACAUGGAUUGUUUAGCAAACAAUCUAAGGCAGAAGAAAUAAAUGUCUUAAUCUAUUUAGACUUGCAGGCAAAAGGCUAUUUGAUGAAUGGUUGCUCUGUCCGCAUGUGGUACUCAGCCUGAUUCAAAUGUAAUCGUAUAAUAUGGCAGAUGAAGGACAGGUUCAACGUCAGUCACCUACCAUGCUGGGUCUGCUAUUAACUGACAGCAGUCUGGUGUUAUGCUUUAUUAUCUUCAUAGGAGUUAUUUUAUGCCAGGGUCUUGAUAUGCAAUUCGGAGCCAUGGGAUGCUAUCGUGUUCUACAUAAGUAUAUCUAUAUUAAUUUCUACAAAAGUAAAAGAAUUGAUUAUAUGUUUAUGGAAA